rnacentral:rRNA from 1 species
AUUGAACGCUGGCGGCAGGCCUAACACAUGCAAGUCGAGCGGAUGAAGGGAGCUUGCUCCUGGAUUCAGCGGCGGACGGGUGAGUAAUGCCUAGGAAUCUGCCUGGUAGUGGGGGAUAACGUCCGGAAACGGGCGCUAAUACUGCAUACGUCCUGAGGGAGAAAGUGGGGGAUCUUCGGACCUCACGCUAUCAGAUGAGCCUAGGUCGGAUUAGCUAGUUGGUGGGGUAAAGGCCUACCAAGGCGACGAUCCGUAACUGGUCUGAGAGGAUGAUCAGUCACACUGGAACUGAGACACGGUCCAGACUCCUACGGGAGGCAGCAGUGGGGAAUAUUGGACAAAGGGCGAAAGCCUGAUCCAGCCAUGCCGCGUGUGUGAAGAAGGUCUUCGGAUUGUAAAGCACUUUAAGUUGGGAGGAAGGGCAGUAAGUUAAUACUUUGCUGUUUUGACGUUACCAACAGAAUAAGCACCGGCUAACUUCGUG